AGCAGAGUGGCGCAGCGGUAGCGUGCUGGGCCCAUAACCCAGAGGUCCGAGGAUUGAAACCUCGCUUUGCUA
rnacentral:tRNA from 1 species